rnacentral:misc_RNA from 1 species
GAAAUGCGAUAAGUAAUGUGAAUUGCAGAAUUCAGUGAAUCAUCGAAUCUUUGAACGCACCUUGCGCUCCUUGGUAUUCCUUGGAGCAUGCCUGUUUGAGUAUCAUGAAAUCUUCAAAGUAAAUCUUUUGUUAACUCAAUUGGUUUCUACUUUGGUAUUGGAGGUCUUUGCAGCUUCACACCUGCUCCUCUUUGUUCAUUAGCUGGAUCUCAGUGUUAUGCUUGGUUCCACUCGGCGUGAUAAGUUAUCUAUCGCUGAGGACACUGUAAAAGGUGGCCAAGGUAAAUGCAGAUGAACCGCUUCUAAUAGUCCAUUGACUUGGACAAUACUUUUAUGAUCUGAUCUCAAAUCAGGUAGGCUACCCGCUGAACUUAAGC